rnacentral:rRNA from 2 species
UACGGGGGGGGCGAGCGUUGUUCGGAAUUAUUGGGCGUAAAGGGAGCGUAGGCGGUGCGGUAAGUUUGGUGUGAAACCUCCAGGCUCAACUUGGAGCUGGCAUCAAAUACUGCCGUGCUAGAGUGUGGGAGAGGAGAGUGGAAUUCCCGGUGUAGCGGUGAAAUGCGUAGAUAUCGGGAGGAACAUCGGUGGCGAAGGCGGCUCUCUGGACCACAACUGACGCUGAGGCUCGAAAGCUAGGGGAGCAAACAGG